rnacentral:tRNA from 9 species
CGGCACGUAGCGCAGCCUGGUAGCGCACCGUCAUGGGGUGUCGGGGGGCGGAGGUUCAAAUCCUCUCGUGCCGACCA